rnacentral:ncRNA from 2 species
AGAAAAGAAUACGGUAUCAUCCAUAUAAUCUGGGGAAUAUGGCCCUAGAGUCUCUACCGGGCAGCCGUAAACUGCCCGACUAUGGAUGAGUCAAUAGGUUAU